CCUACGGGUGGCAGCAGUGGGGGAUAUUGCACAAUGGAGGAAACUCUGAUGCAGCGACGCCGCGUGAGGGAAGACGGUCUUCGGAUUGUAAACUUCUGUCUUUGGGGAAGAAAAUGACGGUAUCUAAAGAGUAAGCUCCGGCUAACUACGUGCCAGCAGCCGCGGUAAUACGUAGGGAGCGAGCGUUGUCCGGAAUUACUGGGUGUAAAGGGAGCGUAGGCGGGCGAGAAAGUUGAAUGUUAAAUCUACGGGCUUAACUGUUAGCUGCGUUUGAAACUUUUUGUCUUGAGUGAAGUAGAGGUAGGCGGAAUUCCUAGUGUAGCGGUGAAAUGCGUAGAGAUUAAGAGGAACACCAGUGGCGAAGGCGACCUGCUAGGAUUUAACUGACGCUGAGGCGCGAAAGCGUGGGGAGCAAACAGGAUUAGAUACCCCAGUAGUC
rnacentral:rRNA from 1 species